UUCUUUUUCCUUUCCAUUUCGGUUUCUUUCUUCUCCUCUCUGCCUAAUCGAUCUUGGCAUCGUCAUCAAUCAGCCAUUCAUUGCAGUCCAAACCCUUAUCCCUUUUUGCAAAAUCUUCUCCUUCACCUAAUCGACCUCCUUUACAAUUUUCUCGAAAUCAUAAUAUGCACCUGCGUCAGUUGAUUUUGGUGCUAGAGAAUCUUGGAGUAAGUUUUAAAUAUUUACAGAUAGUUCGGGUCUGGAGCGUUUUUAGUCUCCGAGUGAAGGGAUUGGAAUCAAUCAAUGGCCAUGAAUGUGAUUAAUUGUUUUACGCAAGAUUUAAGAAUGGUGAAACCAAGUUUCCGGCAGGGGAUUUCUAGUAAAAGCUUAAUAUUCAUUAACAAAGGAGAUCAUUAAGGAUUCACAAGCCCAAAACUAUGUUAACCUUGAAGAAAAUUUACUAGAGACCAGAAAGGGAAAGAAGAAGAGGAGCCAGAAUCACCAUGAACGGCAGAGAAAUACCUUUGCCAAAAAGAAAGUUAAAGAACUUGAUCAAGAAACGAUUAUUUUGUUCUAUUUGAAUAGGCUAUAUUUUGAGUUGUAAUCUAUACUUUGGUAUAUUGCUAUCAACUUUUCUUUGACUAGGCU